CUGAACUGCAUGAAUGACCCUGUGAUUCAAAGCAGCAACCUCUGCACAUAAAAACUGCUAUCUGCUCCUCUCUUGACGUGUUGUCAGUCACCACCACAGCAAUGGCAAUACUUCUACCAACUUUACAAGAAAAAGAGCCAAAUCCAACAUACAGGAACUGAAUUCUGUGCUCAAUUAGAGUGAUUGUUUUGCACCUUUUUUUUUUUUUUAAUAUAUUGCUUUUGAUAAUAGACUAUUUUGCCAGAAUAGCCAUCUGUUGAUCUCACUCAUCUAGACAGAACAAAAGCAUUGCCUUCUGCCAAAUAUUUGAUUAAAAGGAUUACAAUUAGCUUUUCUGUUUCCACUGGGACUUCAACUGACAUGUUCUUGUCAUCUUAAACAAACCAGGCUUACAUCAAGAUUUCUGCUUUCCUAACACACCACUCAAAGAAAUGACCUUUGUGACAGAUGUUACUCUUGGAAACCUUCCUCUACAUCUAUUGCUCCUGGUCUGUAAUAGUGCAGUGCUGAAAAAGGAACCCUCUAUUUCGAGGAGUCGCCGUAUACAAAUUUACAAAACUUCCUUCCUGACGGUUAUUUCUACUCAUAACUAAACCUUCUUGUUAGCAAGAGCAAGUAGGGGUUCUCUAAGAUAUAUUUAGCUUCCCCAGAUUGAAUCUCUUUGCACUGCAAGGUUUCACUCUGAGAAUCUUUGUUCCAAUGAACUGAAAAAGGGAUACUGUACUGUUAAAUGGGUAGAUUGUGCAGGAAUAUCUGGUGUACUACAAGUAUGUUUGCAAGAGACCUGUUUCAUUAUUUCCUCACAUUUGCUAUGAAAGGGUUCAGGGUUACAAAAUUGAAUGCUCAUUCCACACAUCAUGACUCAUUAAUCCAUAAUCACUUUCAGCUGUAUUUUGUAAGGCUGUAUUUACUUUUUUCAAUAAAAAUAUAUGACAUAUCCAGCCUUAGCUACGGAGACUGUUCUUGAAUUUGGCUUUUCAUUCAAAAAAGCAUGGACUAAUUUGAACUUUUUGCUGUCUUUUUAGUAGGGUAAGUUGCAUUUGUACUGCUUUGUUUUCUUUUUUCGGCCUUGUUAUCUGUCCGAGUGUCUACAGUGUCUUGACUAUAGCACAUAGUCAAGAAUGCUACAUGAUUGCAUUCCAGGUGGAAAGAAGCUAGGUUUUAGUGGUGCCAGGAUAUUUUUUGUGCAGUUUGCUUACGCAGUUAGCCUCCUCACUUCCUUUUUGUGACCAUGCCACAAACUACAAAGGUUGUUCGAUAUAUUCAGAUAUUUCUAAGGAGGAAAUACCUUGAAGCAACAGGUAGAUAUAAACAAAAAAAAUCUUUCAUAUUGCACAGAACUUCAGUCCAGUCAGCUGGAAUUGGUUCAGUGUUUAUAUACCUGACAAAACAUUCUUGUUUCCCAGUAUGUACAUGUAGGUGUGAGUAUAAGCAUACACGUGUUCUAUGGUUUUAUUGUAUGCAUGUGCUUCAAGAAAUACUUUCAAUAGCAUAUAGGCCAUUUUGGUGUUAAAACCAAUGGAAAUGGAACAUUAUUCUUUUGAUAUCUGUUUUAGGAAAUAAUGAAAAUUAUGUAAAAAUAGAUGUCUGAACUUUUCUUCAUUUGCUGUUGUGUUGCCAAGAUGUUUCUCAGGAGAGCUGAAAGUUUAUGUACUUUGCAGUUAAUUUUCAUUAAAUUCUGAAAUAAUCA